GAGUUUGAUCCUGGCUCAGGAUGAACGCUGGCGGCGUGCCUAAUACAUGCAAGUCGAGCGAACGGACGAGAAGCUUGGCUUCUCUGAUGUUAGCGGCGGACGGGUGAGUAACACGUGGAUAACCUACCUAUAAGACUGGGAUAACUUCGGGAAACCGGAGCUAAUACCGGGAUAAUAUUUUGAACCGCAUGGUUCAAAAGUGAAAGACGGUCUUGCUGUCACUUAUAGAUGGAUCCGCGCUGCAUUAGCUAGUUGGUAAGGUUAACGGCUUACCAAGGCAACGAUGCA
rnacentral:rRNA from 1 species